AGGCUCUGAUUUGGGUUUAAAAGGAAAAAGUGAAGAGGACAUCCCAGCCCCUGCCCAGAAUCACAGCACCUGCACUGUUUUCUUCUGCCCUCUGGCUGCACAUGUGGCCAGUAGAAGAUAAUAAAGGUGGAUUGCAUUGGACAGAAAAGAGUGAUGUUACAUUUUCUGGCACAAGCCACUGCCUUUAUCUUGAACAGCAUCUCCCGAGUACUGUGGGAACAAAGAUGCUGUGCUUGGCUUGCCUGAAGAAAAAAGAAUUCAGCAACAUGAGCUGGAAAUCAUCAGAAAGGCGGGCUAAGAUGAGAAGAAUUUCAGAGUUACAGAGGAACUACAGAACAAACUUUCGAUCCUCUGCUGUGUAGAGCCUGGUUUUAGAUAUUUAUUUUGAUCCCAAGAAACUCCAGUUAUCCAGUCCUAAAUAUCUGGUCACUAAUAUAUCACUCAGGUAAUAUUUCUUACAGGAAAAUUCUGUGAACACACCAGUCUAAUGAAAUAUCCUCAGUAAUGGUCUCUGUAAUUUCCCUUUUAUUAGCUUUGUCAUACAUAUUUUAUUUGAAUAUAUCCUCCUGGAGAAUGCUUAAAAUUAGGAGGUUUUAUUCCUGCCUUUCCUUGCUAGUUCUCUAAACUGGAUAUUUAAAGAUGUUUUAAUAACUCCUGAUAAAUCAGCAUUGUUGGAGUUUAUUACUGUGCUUUUUUUGCAUAACGUCCCACCAAGGCCUUUCUGCUAUUACAUUACACAGACUUGAACACUGUAGGAUACAUUUUAAUUCUCUAAACCGAGUCCGAGUUUUCUGAAAAUGUGGACAGAAAUUUGCAUUAACGUCUACCAAGUCAAAAUAGAAUGAAAAAUGUUUAGGUGUAGAAAAAUAAUUGUUUUAUUACUAAAGUAUGUAAAUUACCAGAAUAUUCCAUUAUUUGCUAAAAAUCAGGAAACUCUUAGCAUAAAUAAACCAAGAAGAGAAUGCUAUUUUUGGACAUUUAAGUUGACAUACACCUAGAAAGAGAUAUUUCUUCUUAGUACACUGUGCCUCAAAAGUCAAUUUCCCAUUUACAGGCAAAUGGAAAAUAAAUCACUUUAUGUCACUUUGCUGAGAGCAAAGGAUGUUUAAAAUAAUAAUGUCAGUAUAGCAUGAUAUUUUCUCUUCCAUCAACUCUGAUGUCAUGUUUGAUACUAUGUUAUUGUGUUUUAGGUCCCAAGAUGAAAUGAUUGGCGUAUGAAUCAUUUUGACUUUGACCUAGGAAAAAUUGGGAAAUGAUAACUUGUCUAAAGGAUUUAUCUUCUGACUGUUGGAAAGUGUAAAACAAUCUAAAAAUGUUCUUUAAUGAUACCUCUUUUUAUGCAAUGCAGCUCAGGAAAAUAUGACCUAGUACUAUACUAUGAAUUAUGCUAAAAUGCAACAUUACAGAGGCACAUGUAUUUGCCAUGAAAACUGAUAGUAAUGUAGGUGUCCAGUGUCUAAAAACCUGGUUUAAUACAUCACAUGUAUUUGUUGUGAUAGGUACCACUGAAAAAUAAAUAUUUACCUGUAGUUUGCUGUGUGAUGUUUUUUUCCUGAGAGUUAUAAAUCAUAUUAAUGUCUAGGGUCCCAAUUUUGUGUCAGGUCUUAGGAAAAGAAUAUCCUGUGUAGGGUGCUGACUACCUUGUAAUUUUUGGAAUUACUUCAGGAUAUUAUUGCAGACUACCAGCAACCCUAUCUUUCCUAGUAUAUUCCUAUAAUAUAAUAAUCUGCCCUGGAAAUGGUAAACUUCUUACAUCCAAAAUCUUCAAAGUAGAAAAAAUAUAUUUCCCAGGUAUUCUGGGAAUGAACAUUUCCUGGAUUCAGUGUAACAUGCUUUUAAUUACAUAGCAUAGGGUAAAAUCAUCACAGAUCUCCUUUGCCAAGUUAACUUUUUAAACUAACUUUACAAUAGAUUUAUAUUACCUGUGGAUAUGUAGUAGUAAAGCCAAACCUGUUUGAUUUUCAAACCAUCACAAUUUAAAGAGCUAUAAUUCAUAUUUAAUGAAGAAAAAUUUAUAUGAAAACUUCCACAACCAUUUAACAAGAGACUUUAUGAGCAGGUUUUUUCACUUUGCUAAAAGCCCUUCACCUAAUCCUUUAAUUUUAUAGGCUGAUGCAAUGUGUUUAGAAGAAGUUAGGAAUUUUGAUAAUAUUUUUAUAAAAAUCCUAAUAUUAGAAAUAACUACUUGUUAGAGUUACAUGGGAUGCUGGCAAAUUUCCUGAAAUGUCUAGAAAUUCCUUUUUUAAUGACAAAAGUGACUUAUUGCAAGUAGAAUAAGGAAAAGAAUCAAGUCUUUAUGUCACUGACAUUGAUGAUAUAAAUUUGAACUCAGAAGUCUACAUUCCCUUUCUAUGUAAGUACUAAGUUAGGGCAUGAAAGCAACACAGUGAAUAGGGCUGGAUUUCUGUAAUGCCUUGGCAAAGUAUGAUGAAAUCUUAAUCUUACAACUGCAUUAGGUCUGCCUGAACUCAAACAUUAGAAUAUGCUUUUCAGUCUGACUUAAAUAAAAAAAUUAAUGAGAAAAAAAUUAUUGUGAGUCUGGUUGGGAAUUAUUUGCCCUGAAUUAGUUAAAGCCUAAAUUUAAAAUCCUCAUCACUUCUCUGGAAAAGAGCGUUGUCAAUUACAGGUCAUAUGGAGGAGCUGAACACACCUGUGAUAUCAAAAAUAUUAAAGAUUACAAGAAUAAAAAAAUAAUUGUAAAUAACAGAAUAAUUAAAGAAGCUAAAUUAAUAUAUCUGGAGAACCCAAACUUUCUUGGAGAAUUAAUGUUUGCAUUCAUCUGCAUAUGACUCAUAAUGCAAGACAUGUUCUAGUGCUGAAAACCUGGUAGAAUAGCAUUGCAAGAGUAGGUUAUUCUUGUUCCUGUGUCUGCUGCCCAAUGCAGCUAUGAAAAGAGGCAGAGGAAAUGUUGGAAAAGGGCACAGCUAAAGAAGUCUUAGUGUAAAAGACAUCUCCCUAGAACGCUCAGGCAUGGGAAACUUUACAAACUUUAUUUUGGAGAGCAUCAAUGUCUAACUACAAUUUCUCCUAGCAUCAAUGGCAGAUUUUUGUCUCAGAGUUCUGCCUAUACUAUUUGAGUUCUUGGUUUAUCAGGAAUUCAGUGUUCAGAUCAAUAUUUGUGAAAGUUUAACCUGGACUCUGCAACUUAGCUCCCAUCUCCUGCCUACAAUGGAACUGUUCUAAACCCAAACAGGCUUUUUUUGGCUGAGAAGAUUUUGUGUUGUCACUCUUGCCCAUGGAAAUAGGCAUAGAAAAAGCAUAAGAAUGACUUCUGGUGUUGACAGAGAGCUGGGAUGAAAAGACCCUGUAAGUGAAGAAAUAUCAAUAUUUAAAUAGUGAGUGAUCUUGUCCUGAAGGGGUGAUGAACUUGAAUUAUGCAGAGGGAUUAUAUUGAAUUAUACAAAGGGAUUAUGCAUGAACACAUUUUAUCUAAAGUGAAAUUAUAGAAAAGCGUCUAGGAAAAACCUCUAGGAGAAUGUAUUAAGCCUUCUGAUAAUAUACCAACAUGAGUAGUUAAAACUAUAUUUCUUUAAUGUAGUUAAUACUAAAUUUGGAAAAACAUGGCAAUAGACUAAUACUCCUGAUUUGAGAGCAAACAGUCUUGCACAAGAUCUUUCUUUUUAAAUAUGCAUAUCUUUAUGGCUAGAGACAGUAAAUUUUACUUUAUUGAAGAGGCA
rnacentral:lncRNA from 1 species